ACGGGUGAGUAACGCGUGGGAAUCUACCCAUCCCUACGGAAUAACGCAUGGAAACGUGUGCUAAUACCGUAUACGCCCUACGGGGGAAAGAUUUAUCGGGGAUGGAUGAGCCCGCGUUGGAUUAGCUAGUUGGUGGGGUAAAGGCCUACCAAGGCGACGACCCAUAGCUGGUCUGAGAGGAUGAUCAGCCACAUUGGGACUGAGACACGGCCCAAACUCCUACGGGAGGCAGCAGUGGGGAAUAUUGGACAAUGGGCGCAAGCCUGAUCCAGCCAUGCCGCGUGAGUGAUGAAGGCCUUAGGGUUGUAAAGCUCUUUCACCGGAGAAGAUAAUGACGGUAUCCGGAGAAGAAGCCCCGGCUAACUUCGUGCCAGCAGCCGCGGUAAUACGAAGGGGGCUAGCGUUGUUCGGAAUUACUGGGCGUAAAGCGCACGUAGGCGGACUUUUAAGUCAGGGGUGAAAUCCCGGGGCUCAACCUCGGAACUGCCUUUGAUACUGGAAGUCUGGAGUAUGGAAGAGGUGAGUGGAAUUCCGAGUGUAGAGGUGAAAUUCGUAGA
rnacentral:rRNA from 1 species